rnacentral:rRNA from 1 species
AGAGUUUGAUCCUGGCUCAGAUUGAACGCUGGCGGCAUGCUUUACACAUGCAAGUCGAACGGCAGCACAGGGAGCUUGCUCCCGGGUGGCGAGUGGCGCACGGGUGAGUAAUACAUCGGAACGUGUCCUGUUGUGGGGGAUAACUGCUCGAAAGGGUGGCUAAUACCGCAUGAGACCUGAGGGUGAAAGCGGGGGAUCGCAAGACCUCGCGCAAUUGGAGCGGCCGAUGCCCGAUUAGCUAGUUGGUGAGGUAAAGGCUCACCAAGGCGACGAUCGGGUAGCUGGUCUGGAGAGGACGACCAGCCACACUGGGACUGAGACACGGUCCAAACUCCUACGGGUGGCCA